CAUACCGGUAUAUUGUUACAACCCUAGUCAGGUUGCCCACUAAAGCUUAGAAGGGCUGUGCCCAGUCAGUACCUGGAUGGGAGACCACAUGGGAAAGCUUGGUUGCUAGUGAGG
rnacentral:rRNA from 1 species